rnacentral:rRNA from 1 species
UACGAAGGGGGGCUAGCGUUGCUCGGAAUUACUGGGCGUAAAGGGCGCGUAGGCGGAUGACACAGUCAGAUGUGAAAUUCCCGGGCUUAACCUGGGGGCUGCAUUUGAUACGUGUUGUCUAGAGUGAGGAAGAGGGUUGUGGAAUUCCCAGUGUAGAGGUGAAAUUCGUAGAUAUUGGGAAGAACACCGGUGGCGAAGGCGGCAACCUGGUCCUUGACUGACGCUGAGGCGCGAAAGCGUGGGGAGCAAACAGG